AGUCGAGCGGCAGCGGAAAGUAGCUUGCUACUUUGCCGGCGAGCGGCGGACGGGUGAGUAAUGUCUGGGAAACUGCCUGAUGGAGGGGGAUAACUACUGGAAACGGUAGCUAAUACCGCAUAACGUCGCAAGACCAAAGAGGGGGACCUUCGGGCCUCUUGCCAUCAGAUGUGCCCAGAUGGGAUUAGCUAGUAGGUGGGGUAACGGCUCACCUAGGCGACGAUCCCUAGCUGGUCUGAGAGGAUGACCAGCCACACUGGAACUGAGACACGGUCCAGACUCCUACGGGAGGCAGCAGUGGGGAAUAUUGCACAGUGGGCGCAAGCCUGAUGCAGCCAUGCCGCGUGUAUGAAGAAGGCCUUCGGGUUGUAAAGUACUUUCAGCGGGGAGGAAGGCGAUGAGGUUAAUAACCUCGGCGAUUGACGUUACCCGCAGAAGAAGCACCGGCUAACUCCGUGCCAGCAGCCGCGGUAAUACGGAGGGUGCAAGCGUUAAUCGGAAUUACUGGGCGUAAAGCGCACGCAGGCGGUCUGUCAAGUCAGAUGUGAAAUCCCCGGGCUCAACCUGGGAACUGCAUUCGAAACUGGCAGGCUAGAGUCUUGUAGAGGGGGUAGAAUUCCAGGUGUAGCGGUGAAAUGCGUAGAGAUCUGGAAGAAUACCGGUGGCGAAGGCGGCCCCCUGGACAAAGACUGACGCUCAGGUGCGAAAGCGUGGGGAGCAACAGGAUAGAUACCCUGGUAGUCCACGCC
rnacentral:rRNA from 1 species